rnacentral:rRNA from 1 species
GUAGGGAAUCUUCCGCAAUGGACGAAAGUCUGACGGAGCAACGCCGCGUGAGUGAUGAAGGUUUUCGGAUCGUAAAACUCUGUUGUCAGGGAAGAACAAGUGCGAGAGUAACUGCUCGCACCUUGACGGUACCUGACCAGAAAGCCACGGCUAACUACGUGCCAGCAGCCGCGGUAAUACGUAGGUGGCAAGCGUUGUCCGGAAUUAUUGGGCGUAAAGCGCUCGCAGGCGGUCUUUUAAGUCUGAUGUGAAAGCCCACGGCUUAACCGUGGAGGGUCAUUGGAAACUGGAGGACUUGAGUACAGAAGAGGAGAGUGGAAUUCCACGUGUAGCGGUGAAAUGCGUAGAGAUGUGGAGGAACACCAGUGGCGAAGGCGACUCUCUGGUCUGUAACUGACGCUGAGGAGCGAAAGCGUGGGGAGCGAACAGGAUUAGAUACCCUAGUAGUCC